rnacentral:rRNA from 1 species
AGGACGAACGCUGGCGGCAGGCCUAACACAUGCAAGUCGAGCGGCCGUAGCAAUACGGCAGCGGCAGACGGGAGAGUAACACGUGGGAACGUACCCUUCAGUUCGGAACAACCCAGGGAAACUUGGGCUAAUACCGAAUACGUCCGUAAGGAGAAAGAUUUAUCGCUGAGGGAUCGGCCCGCGUCUGAUUAGCUAGUUGGUGAGGUAACGGCCCACCAAGGCUACGAUCAGUAGCUGGUCUGAGAGGAUGAUCAGCCUCACUGGGACUGAGACACGGCCCAGACUCCUACGGGAGGCAGCAGUGGGGAAUAUUGGACAAUGGGCGCAAGCCUGAUCCAGCCAUGCCGCGUGGGUGAUGAAGGCCCUAGGGUUGUAAAGCCCUUUCGGCGGGGAAGAUAAUGACGGUACCCGCAGAAGAGCCCGGCUAACUUCGUGCCAGCAGCCGC